rnacentral:rRNA from 1 species
GAUGAACGCUGGCGGCGUGCCUAACACAUGCAAGUCGAGCGAUUUACUUCGGUAAAGAGCGGCGGACGGGUGAGUAACGCGUGGGUAACCUGCCUCAUACACAUGGAUAACAUACCGAAAGGUAUGCUAAUACAAGAUGAUAUAAGAGAUUCGCAUGGAUUUCUUAUCAAAGCUCCGGCGGUAUGAGAUGGACCCGCGUCUGAUUAGCUAGUUGGUAAGGUAACGGCUUACCAAGGCGACGAUCAGUAGCCGACCUGAGAGGGUGAUCGGCCACAUUGGAACUGAGACACGGUCCAAACUCCUACGGGAGGCAGCAGUGGGGAAUAUUGCACAAUGGGCGAAAGCCUGAUGCAGCAACGCCGCGUGAGCGAUGAAGGCCUUCGGGUCGUAAAGCUCUGUCCUCAAGGAAGAUAAUGACGGUACUUGAGGAGGAAGCCCCGGCUAACUACGUGCCAGCAGCCGCCGCGGUAA